ensembl:lncRNA
GGGGAGUAGCGUGACGUUCACUUCAACGGAGCACAUGAGACGUACAUGGGAUAUAAUAGGUUACACUAUAUCUACGGUGGUCUGUGUUCGGAUAUGCAGUCUUAAAACGAAGUGGUGUGAUGGAUAUCAUUUCUAGACGCUCCAAAAUCCUCAUGAAGGUUAAAGCCAAAAUCCUUCAGCCCAGCAGCAUCUUCUCAGCGUACGACAGCUGCAGUUGUGUGAUUCGUGACAUCGCAUCCGUAUGAGGAAAAUGACUGGCACACUGUAAAGAGGAACACACAAGUUCUGCUGAUGCAAAUGAACCCGCAUCCUGGGCAUCUGAUUGGACUGUAGUGCAGUCAUUCCAGCAGCCAGAGAGCACAUGGACUGCCUUCAGCCAGGAGACUGUGGAGCAGAAGAUAGUGUCUGGUGGACAGUGGUGGCCUUCUACCGAAAAGCCCAACCUUCCUCUCUCUCCUCUCCAUAAUGUGUCAAAUGUGUUUCUAGAGGCCUUUCCCUCAGAAAAGUCCCCCUGUGAAGAUCCUGAAUACAUUCCUACACUAAAGCAGCUUCUGCAAGGACCAGCUGAAAACAGUGAUACAGGGGAGCACAAGGAGCAGAGCUUACUUGAUGGCCUCCAGGAUCUAAACCGGAUGAUUGGUGUGAAAUAUAAGAGGGCGGAGUCUCUGUCCUGUAAACUUCUCCUUCAGUCACUGCAUUUGCAGCGUCCCAGCUCUGAAUGUGCGACAGUUCGACCGAAGACCAGUGCCAGAUUUUCUCCAAAUCUCCCAACGUCCAACCAGCAAUUAGCUGCAAACGCUAAGAGAAGACUGUCAUAUGACUUCAACAGAAAUAUAAUGGUUUAGUCUCUAUAUCUGCUGAACAUCUUUGACCUGUGCUUCCUUGAAAACAGGAAAUACAGGACAGAGGAAAAAUACAUGCUGGAAAACUGAAUAACUGAGUUUCCAUACAUUCUAUUCGAGGUUUAUUUAAAGUGUAUUUCUUCUUUCAGUGUCUGUUCUCACUCAGUGUCUGGUAGAUUCUGUUUCUCAUUCAGUUGUGUAUCAAGACACACUAGACCUAUGUUUAACCAAAUAUAUGUUUUUCAGUAUUUCAGAAUAUUGGGGUUCAAUUAGGACAAAUAUAAAAAAUGUCAAGUUAAAACCCCCUUUGCCAAAUUGUUCAGUCCAGUUAUUGGAGUCUGGUUAUUGGACCCAUUUUGAUAUAACUGAUAUAUUCAGAUGAAAUGUCAAUAUGCAUUUGUGUAUUACUUUCAAUCAUUGCUAUGGAUUAUAUUUGUUAGAAUAAUAAUAUUUUUCUGGUGUCAUAGCAAACCAGUUAGUGCACAUUCUCACAGGGAUGUAGAUUCAUAUCUGGCCUGUCACGUCCUGAUCCACGUCCCAAACUUUCCUUUCUGCUGACUCAGAAAACUGAAUAAAAAAUAAUAAUGUGAUUUUAGGGGGAUUAGGAUCAACUCUAGCUCCCUGCAAUCUCUCCUUCGCCUGUCUGAAACUGUCAAAGCAAAUUUCCACAAAUUGUAUUUUCAUACACCACCUCACACAGACAUCCAUUUUUUUGUCUUUUUUCCCUGUGCUUGAAGUACUAAAUAUAACACUGUAGUGUACCAUUUUUAACUCCUGACGAAUAGAGACCAUAUUUUCAGAAGUGUUUUAAAAUUAAUGUUGACAUAUGAAAUUGAAC